GGUUACACGGCUGUAAAAUACAUAGAUGGGCUUUAAAUAAAGGCUGAAAUGGAGAGAGUUAAAACAGAAAAUUGCCCUCACCUGCUUCCUUUAUGUGCUUGUACACAUCGUCCGAGCCAGCGGAGGAGUAUGGAAUGUCGUCAUGGGCUACAAAAUCAAUCUGCAAAAGAUACAGAAGAAGAAACAAUCAGAUGCAGCCAUCAGCAGUUAAUUUACAGAAGGAAGGGAAGGAGUCUGGAGAAGAAUGGUACCUUAUGUUUUUCUAGGAACUCCGGUGUGAGCGUCCAUGGAGCAUCUCUGAUGACUUCAUCUACGUAGCGACAGUGUCUGAGUGCCUCAUACCGCUCGGUUUCAUUCAUUACAGUGAAGCCUUUGAACUUGUGGGUUAGAUCAUCACUGCAAACUGACAUAAGAAAAAUCAACAAAAUAUUUCUAUGUUAACUUUGCACAAUUAGCGCAUCUGGCCGAUGUGCCUCUUUCUGUCUUUGGAACAGAGACCAGAAGUGCACGCUAAAUAGGAGGAAUGCUCUGCAAAGUUCCAGAAAUUUGCCUACACAUCUCUAAAUCACUGUUGGACAGCUAUAUUGAAACCAGC